GAAAAACUAGCAUAUUUUACACCUUAGUGUCAAAAAGAAUUGUUAAUGCAAGAAAAAGAGCUAAAAUUAGUUGUGGCUGAUACCUGAAUAUGCCACAAUCAGCAAAAGAAACAUAUACUUCUACUCCUGUGCAUAUCUUUUUCUUCAAAUCCCCUUGUAAACGAUCUUAUCGAUAGAUGCUCCGCAGCAUAUGUCAUGAAUGACGCCAAAAC
rnacentral:misc_RNA from 1 species